rnacentral:rRNA from 1 species
UACGUAGGGGGCAAGCGUUGUCCGGAAUCAUUGGGCGUAAAGCGCGUGUAGGCGGCCCGAUAAGUCCGCUGUGAAAAGUCCAGGGCUCAACCCUGGAAUGCCGGUGGAUACUGUCGGGCUCGAGUCCGGAAGAGGCGAGUGGAACUCCUGGUGUAGCGGUGGAAUGCGCAGAUAUCAGGAAGAACACCAACGGCGAAGGCAGCUCGCUGGGACGGUACUGACGCUGAGGAGCGAAAGCAUGGGGAGCGAACAGG